rnacentral:tRNA from 1 species
CAACUUGUUGAAGAAGAAGGCACUUCAUCACGCUUAGAGAGUGGGACUUGUCGGCUGGCAUGACCAACUAGUUGGUCAUAUUCAGCAUAAGUUGU